GGGUGAUAUGAUGACCUCUAAUCCAUAGAAAUAUUUCUGCAGUUCAGAUGAUGAAUACAUAGAAACAUGCACUACCAUCUGAUCCCCC